AUGAGUUGCAUAAGUUGGAACUGUCAAGGGCUUGGGAACCCCGAGGCAGUUCGCGAGCUUCUCAAUGUGGUGAAGCAAGAAGGGUCCGUGUUGGUUUUUGUCAUGGAGACAAAGAUCAGAGGAAAACGUGUCGAGGAUCUGCGGUAUACCCUAGGGUUUACAGGCAUUUUUGUAGUAGAUAGUGACGGCCUAAGCGGAGGUAUAGGGCUGUUCUGGUCUAAAGACACUAAUGUUGAGCUUAAAAACUUCAGCAACAGUCAUAUUGAUGUGGUGGUAAGUACAAACACUGUGGGUUCGAAUGCGUGGAGGUUUACCGGUUUCUAUGGAGCGCCAAGAGUAUCUGAUCGUCAUCACAGCUGGCGUUUCCUUAGAACACUCCACAACAUUCCUCAUGGUGCAUGGAUGUGUGUUGGUGACUUCAACGAGACUCUAUACCCCAAUGAACAUUUUAGCAAAUCUGCUCGCCCCGAGCGAUAG
rnacentral:rRNA from 1 species